CCGAGUGAGCCACCCAGGUGCCCCUGGGUGGUUUUUUUAAAAAAAAACAAAAAAAAACAGUCUAUAUACUCUCUUUCCCUCAAUCUCUCUUUCACAUACACUCAGAUAUUCUUUCUCUGAAACAUGUGCAGACAUCAUGAUGCUUCGGUAUGUUUUUCCGCAGAGUAAGGACAUUCCCCUCCAUGCCCACCAAACCACCAUCCCCUAAGAAAACUGGUAAUAAUUCCAUAGUAGCUAAUGAGCCAUCAUAUCAGCAAUGCCAAGAAUAGUUUCAGUUGUUUUUCCUUUUUUUUUUUUUUUGAUAAGAAUCCAACCAAGGUCAGCCAUCACAUGUGCUUGCUUUGUCUCUUGGGAGUCUGUAGACCUUCUAGCCCAACCUUGUCAUUUUGGGCAUGAGAAACAUUCUGUUGGGAUAAGGUGAUUUGGGCUCAAGGCCAUUGCACAGCAUGCACUCCAUUUUACGUAAGCAAGAUUUCAUGGUCAAGAGAGCUUUAAGUUUUAAAAUCCUUUUAAAAUGAUGAGUAUCAAAAGUGGCAUCACAGCACAGGAAUGACUACUCCUCCCAGCAGGACUGAGCCCUCUCACGUGUCACAUAGUAUAGGGACACUUGCAUUCCGUAGCUCAGUGAAUGCUUCUGCAAACCCCCGGGGUGACGGCGUGGAGAGCUGUGGUCCCCGUUGGUCUCUGUCUGUCCCUGUCACAUAGGAGAGGCUCAGCGCUCUUUUCCAGUCUGCCCGAGGCCUGGUGGCUGGUGGACAACCCGGGUGGCACCUCGCUGAGCUUCUCUCCCACUUUUCUGCCUGGACCCUCGGAGCGUCCAUCCAUGCUGCUGCUUCUGAGUCUCUCAAGACCUUAUCUGCGAACAACACGAGAGAGAGAGGCAAAGACACAGCAGAGGGAGAAGCAGGCUCCAUGCGGGGAGCCCGACGCGGGACUGGAUCCCGGGUUUCCAGCAUCACGCCAUGGGCCGAAGGCAGUGCUAAACCGCUGAGCCACCCCGGCUGCCCAAGACCCUGUUUUAGAUUGACGUGGGACUACCAGCCCAUAUCUCUAAGUAAAGUUGUUCAACCUGU